CAGAGGUGCAAGCGUUAAUCGGAUUACUGGCGUAAGCGCGCGUAGGUGGCCAAUUAAGUCAAUGUGAAUCCCGAGCUUAACUUGGAAUUGCAUUCGAUACUGGUUGGCUAGAGUAUGGAGAGGAUGGUAGAAUUCCAGGUGUAGCGGUGAAAUGCGUAGAGAUCUGGAGGAAUACCGAUGGCGAAGGCAGCCAUCUGGCCUAAUACUGACACUGAGGUGCGAAAGCAUGGGAGCAAACAGGAUU
rnacentral:rRNA from 1 species